rnacentral:lncRNA from 1 species
GGGAGGGCUGGAGGAGGCGGGCAGCGGCUGGAGGGCGGUUGCUCUGAUAGGGAAGAGGAGGAGGCUGGAUGAAGCCUCCCAGCUCAGCUGGCCGCUUUGUGCCACGGUGGCCACGGCAGACAGAGGCUUCGGGGGAGAUAAUGGAGGCAUAUAAUUUGGAUAAGAAAAUAGGCUUCCAAGAGGAAAAGUCAAAAUUAGAAACAGAAUUGUUAGAACCCAAAACUAAAAAUUUGUCAAGAAUGUAUAACUUGCUGUUGAAAUGGAAUACUCAGGAUGAAACGGUGAAAUCUGCUAUGAUUAAAUGGGCACAAGAUGUUGGCCAUAAUAUUAUGUUUGCUGACUGGGAACAGUUAUGGACCACAGGUAUGAAGUUUACGGCAUGUAAUACCUUAAGAGAGAAUAUUAUGAAAAUGAUAUACAGGUGGUACAUGACCCCAGUCAAGCUUGCAAAAAUUUAUCAUUUGCCCGAUAAUAAAUGUUGGAAAUGUAAAGAAACUGAAGGUACAUUCUUUCACCUUUGGUGGACGUGCCCAAAGAUUAAGGCUUUCUGGGAAAUGAUAUAUAAUGAAAUGAAAAAGGUAUUUAAAUAUACCUUUCUGAAGAAACCAGAGGCCUUUCUCUUGGGCACUGUCGGCCAACUGGUGCCAAAGAAGGACAGAACCUUUUUCAUGUAUGCUACAACAGCAGCAAGAAUACUUAUCGCAAAGUAUUGGAAGACACAAGAUCUACCCACUUUGGAAGAAUGGCAGAUGAAGGUGAUUGACUACAUGGAACUGGCGGAAAUGACUGGCAGAAUCCGAGACCAGGGAGAAGAGUCGGUGAAAGAAGACUGGAAGAAAUUUAAGGACUAUUUACAGAAAUAUUGCAAAAUUAAGGAACUUUAGAAGGAUGUUGGAUAGAAACUAAGAGGUUUUUAGCUGUAAUGCUUUAAGAGACAUGGAAAAAAGGUUAACAAUUGGGUAAAAGAUUAAUGGUAAGGAUUUGCUGAACCAACAAAUUGAAUUGGAAUACAAAGAAGGGAGGUAUGAGGAGGUCCGGGAAAUAAGAGUAAGGAAGAUAGGUUAUGGAACAUUAUUGUGUUUUUAACUGUUUUAUUUUGUAUGUUUUUUUUCUUAUUUUUUACUGUUUUUGUUAUAUCUUAAAACUUUAUACUUUUUCUUUAUUCUGUACUUUCAUGUAUCUUUAAUAAAUAUCAUUUAAAAAAAAAAAAGACAGAGGCUUCGGGGGGUGGUGCUGGUUUGGCACGGCAUGGUGGAGGCGGGCAAGGGCAGCGAGCUGAUGCUGGGAGAUGCCGUGUCCAGCCUCCACCUCUUCCCUGGCACCCUCCAGGCCCUGGCGCCCUGCGCCACUAGCCUCUAUGGGUAAGACGACCCUGGCCAAGGAAAUUGGAAACCUUUUGUAAGGACACCAGAAGAUGAGG